GUGUGUGUAUCUAUCUGGAGAUCGAUCAGGACAGGGAGGAACAAAGGGUUUAACCCUAAUUGCUAAUUCAGCCAAAUUAGGAGGAAAUCUCAAAGCUAAUUCAUUGCAUGAACUCAAGUUUCGAUCAUCUAAGCUAAUAUAGCUGAAUGGCGUGAAGGAAGAGGGUUCAAGUACUAAGAAAUCGGAAGGCUCACAGGAUCGAGGAUGAAAUCUUGUCAAUUGACUCAAGCAUGGAUGGCAAACAUGGUAAGAGGAAGCGAUGAAGCAAGCAUGAACAUGGACGCUAAAGUUUGGAAAGCAUUAACCGUCGCAAAGUAUGAAUAACGAGUCAAAAGAUUUGACCCGCGCCAGGUACGUAUAAAAAGAUUAUAUUUUCAAUAAGAGCUUAGGGCUCGAUUAGAGACUGACGUGUCAGAACAAGAUAACUGAUACCCAUAUGUAAGAAUGUAUUUACAAUUAGACUUCCGAAAAGUCAAACGAAGUAAAUGAAGUCCUUGCAAUAAUGCAAGUAUAAGGUACGAACGUGUACCCCGAUGCGACCACAAUAAGUAAGGGGGAUGUUAGUCCGACCUUAAAAAGGUCAAACUGCAAAAGUCGACGAAAUAACCAAUAAAAUGAAAUGAUAGUAUGUAAGGAAUGGAAUGUAUGAUAUGUUUUAACAUGUACAUAAGAAAAUUGUGAAAGAGACAAUCGGCGACCAAACACCCUGUGGGACGCAAAUAUGAAAGGUUAUGUGCUAACUAUUAUUUAUAGAUAAAUAUGAUGAAAUUCUUAGCGAGAUGAUAGUAAUGAAGCUAGUGGAAGGAUGCUCACGAGUGGGAGCAUAUUUCAUGAAUGAAUGAGACCAAUCUGGUAUGGAAGGUACAUAUAAAGAAGCGGAUCGAUCCGGCACACGGAUAACUGACUUAUGCAUUGAAGGCGAGGCGUGAAGGAAGAGGGUUCAAGUACUAAGAAAUCGGAAGGCUCACAGGAUCGAGGUAAAUACUCAAUUUAGGCGACUUGGAGAAUUGGAGCGAGCACAUGUUCAUGAUAUGUCAUACCAAACGCUUCCGCUAGUUGCACUUAUGUUUUGGGUCAAAUUUCCAUUUUGUACAACUUGUUAGUAGUCGUAUAUUUUAAAACUUGUUGCCUUUGUUUUCGGUAGUAUUAUGUCAAACGGAUCAUAAGAUGUUAAUUAGUUUGAUUAUGUUCAAAACAGGGGCAUGCUCGUUUUUGGACGGGUCAUGCCCAAAUUUUGUAAAAAUUAUGCAUCAAGUUGGUACUUUUGAUGUCUUUAAGUUACUCUUGUAAGACAUUCUAUAAUUACGCAAAAAGGGACAUUACAAGUGGACCUCUUCUGAAUCCAUCUAAUUUUUCUAACAUGGCGGUGAAAAUAAGUUAUCGAUCACAUGGGCAUUUAUACAACACAAGAAAAAUAAUUUUGGACGUAGCUUAUCGAAUAAUAAACUUGGAUCCACAAAUCCAAUUUGGGUCUAGUCAAAUAAACGUUCAUGAACAUGAAGUGCAAGUGAACAUGAGAUGGUCCAGUGCUCCAUUCGACCCAGGUGGAACAAUUAUAGCCCAACUCUAGCAUUCGAUGAUGCAGUUGAUUUCUUAGAUAGUGUCUUCUUCUCGAAGUGGCAUUUCGUCGAACAACUUCAGAUAUGGAAUCUGAGAUCUCAAGUGAAGUUUACCAUUCUCUGCGCUUGCGCAAGAGCUCUAAGCCACCUAUUAGUUGAAAAGGCAAAUUUGUUGUGUAGAUCUUGUUGGUUCUGUGCGUGUUCACAAGUCAGGUGUAAAGAUGGAAGCCACAACGAUAUAAUGCGUAGAGAGCAUGCGGGUGUUCAUGAAACAUUCCACACAUAUUCGCUUUUGUACAUUGUUUCUUGGUGUCUUAUUUGAGCCGACUAUCUGUGUUUUUUAUGUUUUAGUAAUCAACAAUUCACUUAGAGACUUCAUGCAAUCUAAGUUGUUGAAAUUGUAUCCAACCUUUCUUUUUUAUUUUAGGCAUAUUUUACAUGUUGUAAACACAUUUGAUGAGUUCAUAUUUUUUAUAUGCUUUUGAAAACGAGAUUU
rnacentral:lncRNA from 1 species